AAGAAACUAUUAACUCA
rnacentral:miRNA from 1 species